rnacentral:piRNA from 1 species
AGCUAACAGUUGAGGUGUUCUAUGGCU